CUACGGGGUGCAGCAGGCGCGAAAACUUUACAAUGCUGGCAACAGCGAUAAGGGAACCUCGAGUGCCAGGUUACAAAUCUGGCUGUCGUGAUGCCUAAAAAGCAUUGCAUAGCAAGGGCCGGGCAAGACCGGUGCCAGCCGCCGCGGUAACACCGGCGGCUCGAGUGGUAACCGUUAUUAUUGGGUCUAAAGGGUCUGUAGCCGGCCGGAUAAGUCUCUUGGGAAAUCUGGCAGCUUAACUGUCAGGCUUUCAGGAGAUACUGUCUGGCUCGAGGCCGGGAGAGGUGAGAGGUACUUCAGGGGUAGGGGUGAAAUCUUGUAAUCCUUGAAGGACCACCAGUGGCGAAGGCGUCUCACCAGAACGGACCUGACGGCAAGGGACGAAAGCUAGGGGCACGAACCGGAUUAGAUACCCGGGUAGUCCUAGCCGUAAACGAUACUCGCUAGGUGUCGGCCACGGUGCGACCGUUGUCGGUGCCGUAGGGAAGCCGUGAAGCGAGC
rnacentral:rRNA from 1 species